CAAUAGCGUAUAUUAAAGUUGUUGCAGUUAAAAAGCUCGUAGUUGGAUUUGUGGCGGUUCCUGUGGUCCGAUUUCGGUACUUUCGGGGACUGCCAUCCUUGGGUGGAUCUUGUGUGGCAUUAGGUUGUCGUGCAGGGGAUGCCCAUCGUUUACUGUGAAAAAAUUAGAGUGUUCAAAGCAGGCUUACGCCGUUGAAUAUAUUAGCAUGGAAUAAUGAGAUAGGACCUUGGUACUAUUUUGUUGGUUUGCGCACCGAGGUAAUGAUUAAUAGGGACAGUUGUGGGUAUUCGUAUUCCAUUGUCAGAGGUGAAAUUCUUGGAUUUCUGGAAGACGAACGAAUGCGAAAGCAUUUACCAAGGAUGUUUUCAUUAA
rnacentral:rRNA from 1 species